rnacentral:lncRNA from 1 species
GAGACACAUCUGCUCUACUCACCAAUAAAAUGGCAGAUACCUAUGGGGAUAAAGAUUUGCUCCACAUGGAGGCUAAGAAACAAUUGCAGCCUGGGAAAACAAAGCUGCCUUCAGCUGCUGCUGUUGCUGGGACCAAGUCCAUCAUUCUGCUGUAUGUCCUGCUGUUGAUGGUCACUGUAGGCUGGGUAGUCUUCAUCAUACUGGCCUUCAUAAAAUACUCUGCCCUGACUGAAGAGAUUCAGCACCUCCAAAUGAGUCAAGUCACCCUGAAGGAGAACAGUAAGUUCAGAGCAAUUCAUGUCUGCCUUUGAAUCCUUAUAGAGCAUAAUGAUUAUUCU